UACAGAGGGUGCGAGCGUUGUCCGGAAUCACUGGGCGUAAAGGGCGCGUAGGUGGCGCCCCAAGUCCGUGGUGAAAGCUCGAUGCUCAACAUCGAGUCGGCCACGGAAACUGGGGGGCUCGAGCACUGUAGAGGCAGAUGGAAUUCCGGGUGUAGCGGUGGAAUGCGUAGAUAUCAGGAGGAACACCGGUGGUGUAAACGGCUCUCUGGACCGUAACUGACGCUGAGACACGAAAGCGUGGGUAGCAAACAGG
rnacentral:rRNA from 1 species